ACGGAAGGCAGCAGUGGGGAAUAUUGCACAAUGGAGGAAACUCUGAUGCAGCGACGCCGCGUGAGUGAUGAAGUAUCUCGGUAUGUAAAGCUCUAUCAGCAGGGAAGAUAAUGACGGUACCUGACUAAGAAGCACCGGCUAAAUACGUGCCAGCAGCCGCGGUAAUACGUAUGGUGCAAGCGUUAUCCGGAUUUACUGGGUGUAAGGGGAGCGUAGGUGGUUUGGCAAGCCAGAAGUGAAAACCCGGGGCUCAACUCUGUGGAUUGCUUUUGGAACUGUUGAACUAGAGUGCAGGAGGGGUAAGCGGAAUUCCCAGUGUAGCGGUGAAAUGCGUAGAUAUUGGGAGGAACACCAGUGGCGAAGGCGGCUUACUGGAAUGCAACUGACACUGAGGCUCGAAAGCGUGGGGAGCAAACAGGAUUAGAUACCCUGGUA
rnacentral:rRNA from 1 species